UUGUAUCAACGGCACCACGAGGGUUAGACUGUCUCCUUUUUCAAAUCAGUGAAAUUAAUCUCCCCGUGAAGAAGCGGGGAUACUUAUAUAAGACGAGAAGACCCCAUGGAGCUUCAAACCCAACUACACCCCUAGCUCUUAUAGCCCCACAACCCCCCUAGGCACCGUGUGCUUGGUUUUAGGUUGGGGCGACCGCGGAGUACAAUAAAACCUCCACAAUGAAUGGGAACACCCCCUUAUCUGAGGGCCACACCCCCUAAGAAUUAGAACACUAACAUAAAAUGAUCCAUUACUUGAUCAAUGAACCAAGUUACCCUGGGGAUAACAGCGCAAUCCAUUUCAAGAGCCCCUAUCGACAAAUGGGUUUACGACCUCGAUGUUGGAUCAGGGUACCCCAGUGGUGCAGCAGCUACUAACGGUUCGUUUGUUCAACGAUUAAAACCCU
rnacentral:rRNA from 1 species